UGUGAGGAAAGGAAACGUUGUAGAAAGAAAGCAGAGGAAGUGGAAGUGAGGAAUGCACUUUGUUGAGACAAAGAAAUCCCUCAACCAAAUGAAGGAAACUGGUGUGGCAACUCUAGGAGCAAGCACUACCAACCCAUGGAGAUAAGCACUCGGCAACCUGGUUUCUCUUUUUGGUUGGGAGAUUUGGCUUGGGGCUCCUUCCAUUUUCAUCACUGUUGUCAGCUGUUUCUUAGUCCCACCCUAUCCGAGGGGCUGGCAGUCUCCUGUUUGCACUGCAGUCCCUGGAACAGAGAUCAAAAUCCUCUGAUGAUCACCGUGUGCUCUGGAGCAGCUGUAAUGCUAUACUCAUGUUUUCACAGGCUCUGAUUUCUUGCACGUUUUUUCUAUUCACAGCCUAGCUUUUUUCCCCCACACUCUGCUCUCCUGAGAAUGAUGUUAAGUACUGUUGUGGCUUGAAAAGCAGAAACUGAGAGUAGAUUUCUCUGCAAGUUCUUCACAGCACCUCACGUCACGCAGCUGAACUGCAGUUGGUCUACAGUGAGGUCUUCAGAUGCCUGCAGAGUAAGCAGCAGAGCGUGCAUCUGUGAGCAGGAACUGAAGAAAGGAAGCCAGGGUGGGUGGAAGAGCUCCUCUUGUAGUGGCAGAGCUGCUGCAUCUGGUUGGAGCUGUUGAUUCAUAUCCUUAAGCCAUCACAGCUAUGGCUUCCUCCAUGGUAUCAUUCCUACUGCACUGAGCUCUGAUUGUUCCACAGCACCACGGCUAGCAUGGCUUUUAUAUCCAAAUACAGCUGCGUAAAGGCAGGAAAAUGAGAAAGGGUUUGAGAGUUUGUGCACUGGCAGAAAACAGGGCUGAUUCUUGCACUUGUGUAGAUGUAUACAGAGCUUUGAAGCGUCUGAAGAGCUCAGGGACCAGCUGGCAGAACAACCUGAAGUCUAAACCACAGACUUGGAAGAAUGUGUCUUAGCUUCAUGUACGGGCUAUGAAAAGAGCAGGGCCAGAAAAUCCACUGGGACUGGUGCACCAAACUACUGCCCAUUUAGACAGCACUCAGUAUUAAACUCUCCUGCUACAAAAGUGUGGAUGCAUCUGCUAAAUAUAGAGAAUAUCAGGGAUGGAGGUGUUGGAGUUACGCUGCUACCUUUGUUUAAUGGUGAAGACAACACUCUGAAGGAAAUGAGCAAAAAUAUUACAGAAAUGAAUAGAGAAAGGAGCUCCAGGCUUGAAGUAGGGAACUAACCCAGGGAUAAGGCAGAAAAGGAAAGCUUGGGGCAGACAGCACUUUGCCAGUGAAUGACAGUAUGGUCACCGGAAACGCUGUUCAGGGAAGCAGGGCCUUGUAAGCAGCCUAUGUGAGGGAAACGCCUGUCAUCAUCAGAGACAUUGCUAGUUUGAAAAGAAUAUCCACUAGAUUACGUUUUGGGACAAGGAGGGAAUAGUCUGGGCUCUUUUGGGUUCCAGUAAGCAAAAAUACCCAUUCCUGAUGCUUGUAGGCUGGAAGAAAGGUGGUGACCUGCUGCAUUGUCUACCAAAGAUGAUCUUCAGUCUAACACAGCGGCACUGGAAUUUAAAGAAACCCAG
ensembl:lncRNA